CCCGGCCCAGCCAGCACGGGGCUGUCUCUCCCAUGCAUCACAACCCAUUCCCCCCAGUGACUUUAUUAUCCACAGGUUCUGCCGUGGAGAAGUUGGGAGGGCCUGGCACCCUUCUCAGGUGGCCCAUGCUGGUGGUGGUGACCAGUGACACACACACACACUGGCAUCCCUCGCUGGCUGCUGGGAGCAGGGACCCCUCGCAGCAGGUGUGAUGGGGCUUCCCCUGUGUCCACUGGAUCCUCCUCUUGAGCGGCCUACGUCCCUGCCUGAGAGUUUGUCCCAUGCCCCAGAAAGCAGCUCUGCAAAGGGGCCGUCUCCUGGGAGAAGCUCUGAACUGGCUGAGGAGAGGCCAACUUCUGGGGAAGGCUACGGCAGAAGCCUUGUCCCUGGCUCCCUGCAGCCCGGGCGAUGGCAGCGAGGCUGUUCGGAUGCCGGACACACGCGCUGCCGGGAAAGGGAGGAAGAGACACGUCGUCUGUGCCAGGAAUGCCAGAGAAGGCUUCAAUACCAAGAGCGCCCAGGGAAGUCCUCUGGCUCUGGAGGGAGAGGCUCCAGAAGGCUCCGAGGUGAGACGGGCGAGCCAGGCCCAGCAUGCCAUCCUCCUGCGGGGAGGG
rnacentral:lncRNA from 1 species